AGUUGAGAUGAAUUCUGUACCCAAAGCAGAAUCCCCAGCAUGUGUUCCUGAAGCGUCCAGCACUCCGGCGAGUCUGUGGAGCCCUGUCAGCACCAUCCCCACCCCGAGAUGGGGCCGCAUCGUCUAUGGAUGUGCCUUUCUGCUUGUUGUCCUGCUGUCCAUGCUAUGCCUGGUAUUGGCCCAUUGGCCCAAACGCCUGUUCUCUGGAGAGCUGAUCUACAUCGCAGCGGCUGUGUUGCUGCUGGUGCUCAUUGUGGGAUUCACUUUCACCGUCUGGAGACAGCCCCAGAGCAACACUCCUCUUUACUUCAAGGUCCCCCUGUUGCCUGUUCUCCUCUGGUCAGCAUCUCUGCACAUGUUUACCUGAUGAUGCAGAUGACCACUGAGACCUGGGCCCAAUGUGGAGUCUGGAUGUUGAUUGGAUUUGCUAUGUAUUUUGGAUAUGGGAUCCCACACAGCUUGGAGAACAAUCAACAGCCACCAGCGUCAAGCUCCCAAACUCCUCAUGAAAACAUCCCUAGUCCCUUGCUGAAUUAGUUUAACCACGGAAAAGGGAUGGUCCAGUCCACUGGAGGUGUCCUCUGGAUGAAGGGAAAGUGUGAAGCUCUGUGGAGCAUGAAGGUGGGAUACACUUAAAGCCCCUUGUGCAUUGCCAGUGAGCAAACACUUUUUAAAAAACUUUAUUUUGUUGUUUGUUUGUUUGUUUGUUUGUUUGUUUGUUAUAGAGGUGAGGACUUGCUCUGUUGCCCAGGCGGAACUUGAACUCCUGGGCUCAAGUGAUCCUCCUGCCUCAGUCUUCCAAGCAGCUGGGACUACAGGUACCCCAUCAUACCCAGCUUAACAAAAUAUCUUUAUUUGAUUUGAUUUUUUUUCUUUUUGAGACAGAGUCUCGCUCUAUUGCCCAGUCUGGAGUGCAGUGGCAUGAUCUUGGCUCACUGCAACCUCCGCCUCCCGGGUUCAAGUGAUUCCCCUGUGUGAGCCUCCAGAGUAGCUGGAAUUACAGGCACAUGACACUGUGCCCAGCUAAUUUUUCUUUAUUAGUAGAGACCAGGUUUCACCAUGUUGGCCAGGCUGGUCUUGAACUCCUGACCUCAAGUGAUCCACCUGCCUCGGCCUCCCAAAGUGCUGAGAUUACAGGCCUGAGCCACCGUGCCCAGCCAAAAUAACUUUAAAAACUUACAUUUUUAAAAAUUGACAAAUAAAAGUUGUCUAUGUUUAUGGUGUACAA
ensembl:lncRNA novel transcript